GAUGAAGAACGCAGCGAAAUGCGAUAAGUAAUGUGAAUUGCAGAAUUCAGUGAAUCAUCGAAUCUUUGAACGCACAUUGCGCCCGCCAGUAUUCUGGCGGGCAUGCUUGUUCGAGCGUCAUUUCAACCAUCAAGCCCCAGGCUUGUGUUGGGGACCUGCGGCUGCCGCAGGCCCUGAAAACCAGUGGCGGGCUCGCUGUCACACCGGGCGUAGUAGAUUUUAUCUCGCUCAGGGCGUGCUGCGGGUUCCGGCCGUUAAAAAGCCUUUUUACCCAAGGUUGACCUCGGAUCAGGUAGGAAGACCCGCUGAACUUAAGCAUAUCAAUAAGCGGAGGA
rnacentral:misc_RNA from 1 species